AGUGAACGCUGGCGGUAGGCCUAACACAUGCAAGUCGAACGUCAGCACAGUAAGAGCUUGCUCUUACGGGUGGCGAGUGGCGGACGGGUGAGGAAUACAUCGGAAUCUACUUUUUCGUGGGGGAUAACGUAGGGAAACUUACGCUAAUACCGCAUACGACCUACGGGUGAAAGCAGGGGAUCUUCGGACCUUGCGCGAUUGAAUGAGCCGAUGUCGGAUUAGCUAGUUGGCGGGGUAAAGGCCCACCAAGGCGACGAUCCGUAGCUGGUCUGAGAGGAUGAUCAGCCACACUGGAACUGAGACACGGUCCAGACUCCUACGGGAGGCAGCAGUGGGGAAUAUUGGACAAAGGGCGCAAGCCUGAUCCAGCCAUACCGCGUGGGUGAAGAAGGCCUUCGGGUUGUAAAGCCCUUUUGUUGGGAAAGAAAAGCAGCAGGUUAAUACCCCGCUGUUCUGACGGUACCCAAAGAAUAAGCACCGGCUAACUUCGUG
rnacentral:rRNA from 1 species